CAAUAGCGUAUAUUAAAGUUGUUGCGGUUAAAAGCUCGUAGUUGGAUUUCUGUCUGAGGCGGCCGGUCCACUUUCUGAGUGAGCAUCUGGUCCGCUUUGGGCAUCCUCCUGGGGAACGUUUCCGCGCUUGAUUGUGUGGUACGGAAUCUAGGACUUUUACUUUGAGGAAAUUAGAGUGUUUAAAGCAGGCUUAUGCCGUUGAAUAUAUUAGCAUGGAAUAAUAAGAUAGGACUUUGGAACUAUUUUGUUGGUUUGCGUUACAAAGUAAUGAUUAAUAGGGACAGUUGGGGGUAUUCGUAUUUCGUUGUCAGAGGUGAAAUUCUUGGAUUUCCGAAAGACGAACUACUGCGAAAGCAUUUACCAAGGAUGUUUUCAUUAAUCAAGAACGAAAGUUAGGGGAUCGAAGACGAUCAGAUACCGU
rnacentral:rRNA from 1 species